rnacentral:rRNA from 1 species
CCUACGGGAGGCAGCAGUGGGGAAUAUUGCGCAAUGGGCGAAAGCCUGACGCAGCGACGCCGCGUGAGGGAUGAAGGUCUUCGGAUCGUAAACCUCUGUCAGCAGGGAAGAACGGUCACUGUGCUAAUCAGCAGUGAAUUGACGGUACCUGCAAAGGACGCACCGGCUAACUCCGUGCCAGCAGCCGAGGUAAUACGGAGGGUGCGAGCGUUAAUCGGAAUUACUGGGCGUAAAGCGCUCGUAGGCGGUAUGUCAAGUCAAGGGUGAAAUCCCCGCGCUCAACGUGGGAACUGCCUUUGAAACUGGCAAACUGGAGUGUGUGAGAGGAUAGUGGAAUUCCAGGUGUAGGAGUGAAAUGCGUAGAUAUCUGGAGGAACAUCAGUGGCGAAGGCGACUAUCUGGCACAUAACUGACGCUGAGGAGCGAAAGCGUGGGUAGCAAACAGGAUUAGAUACCCGAGUAGUC